rnacentral:tRNA from 1 species
AGUUUUAUAGUUGAUAAACAAUAGCAAAUUGCAGAUUUGAAGGAGCGUAUUACGUUAAAAUUU